UACAGAGGGGGCAAGCGUUGUUCGGAAUUACUGGGCGUAAAGGGCGCGUAGGCGGCCUUCUAAGUCAUGCGUGAAAUCCCCGGGCUCAACCCGGGAACUGCGUCUGAUACUGGAAGGCUCGAAUCCGGGAGAGGGAUGUGGAAUUCCAGGUGUAGCGGUGAAAUGCGUAGAUAUCUGGAGGAACACCGGUGGCGAAGGCGGCAUCCUGGACCGGCAUUGACGCUGAGGCGCGAAAGCGUGGGGAGCAAACAGG
rnacentral:rRNA from 1 species